rfam:TPA: Bos taurus chromosome 16, whole genome shotgun sequence.
UCCUUGAUAGCUCAAUUAGUAAAGAAUCUGCCUGCAAUGCAGGAGACCCCAGUUUGAUUUCUGGGUUAGGAAG